CUGCCCCAGAGGGGUCUGGGGCCAGGGAAAGGGGUUAAAUUUUUCUUUCCCCAAGUACAGAGCUGCCCUGCCCUACCCUGCUCUGUUCUGCUAAAAAACUUACUGCUGGCUGCAACUGUAAACUACAAAUUCCAGAGGCACCUGGAAGCAGGAAGAGGAAGUGAUGAGCAAUGCUGUAGAGUCCUGUUGCAGCUGUAAUUCUGGAGUGCAAAUCCCAGAGACCUCAGGGGCACCAGGAAGAGGAAGUGAACAUAUAGCCCGUGCUGGCUACAUGCUAAAGCUGUGCUCUAGCACCUCCCAGCUUGUGGCCUGAGCCACUGCAGGCAUGUGGCUGCAUUACCUGAAUCAAAAGCAAAUGUCUGUCCAGUUAUUUCUCAGUUUAAUCUCUGCUGAUUAGACUAACCUGCAAAGACUGAAUUGAUUCAGCCUUGGGCUUUUUAACUGUCUGUACUUAGCUGAGAAGGGAAGACUGAGGUGGGAUUUAAUAACAGCCUUCAACUACCUGCAGGGUGGUUCCAAAGAGGAUGGAGCUGGACUGUUCUCAGUGGUGGCAGAUGACAGAACAAGGAGCAACAGUUUUAAGCUUUAGCAGGGGAAAUUUAAGUUAAAUAUUUUAGGUUAGGUUGUUUAGGAAAAACUUUCUUACUAGGAGAAAGAAAGUUGGACUCGAUGAUCUAUUGAGGUCCCUUCCGACCCUAACAUCUAUGAAUCUAGGAGGGUAGUAAAGCACUGUGUGCCUGCCUGGCUUCGAACGCCCACUCAUGUGCCACCUUGGCCCGAACUGUAGAGGGCACAUGCUCUCUGGCUUCAUGGAUUCCCUGAGGUGGGCUUUGGUUGUCCCUCUGGGCUCCCCCGAACUCACCUGUCAUGUCUUUGAAUGUUACUUCGGGGAGUGGGGUAGCCUCGAAGGUCCCCUCAGGGAUGACCACUCCACUCACGGGAUGUUCAUGGGGCUCCACCUCCCCUACACCCCAACCUUACACCAACCUCUGGCGGGGUGCCAGGUGUCAACACAGCCACCUCUCCUCAGUGGAUGUCCCUUGUGCCUUAUUGUGUCCCACUUUCCUCCUUGGGGCAGGAUCGUUAGUUGUUUCAGACCCUAUGCCUGGGGCCCCUUUGAGCCCGUCGGCUCUGUUCCUGGUGUCGGCAUGGGUUCCCCUGUCAAGCAUGGGGUAAAGAAAACAAAAUGAAGAAAAGAAGAAAAAAAAAAGAACCCCAAAAGGGUCUUCCUGUCCGGUGUCCUACCGGUUGGUUCUUCCCGCACUCCUGCCCGUGCUUGGCAGUAUUCCCCCCAUGCUGGUCCUGCGGGGUCUCUCUUCCCUUUCCGCUCCCAGCCCAGCUCCCUGACCCGGUACCUGGAAGCGGCUGGGUGGACAAACUUCUGCUUCCCCAGGGUAGGUCUCAGCCUGUUCCUCUGGGUCACCGUCCUUAUUGCACUGUUGUUCGGAACCUCCACCACCGAACUUCCUCGGAGGUACAAGGGGGAAGUCACCCCUGGUACUCCUCCCCUCCUGGGGCUCUGCCUCGGUACCUUUGGUGUGAGGGACCCCUGCUGCUCCAGCUGCCACCCAUCAUAUGGGCGCUCCCCGUUCAUGCCGGCCCUGUCUGUUGCUGGCACGGAGAGCCUUUGCCUCCUCACUCACUCUCUCCGCCUUACUGCCGGUGGCCGCUUUUAUCUUUGCUGGCCGGUGCAUCCCUGUGACGUCACCCACUGGUUUUAAUUGCAUAAAGACGCAGCUUGUGAACCACGUGGGCUCUUCUCUUCGUCCCUCCGGCAUUGUGCCUCCUACAGGUGAGUAGUUAUUUCAUGCUUCCCUCUUUAUUUUGAUGGUUUUUUUCCAUGCUGUGCCCUGCAGGCGGGGCUUCCCAAUCCUUCUUCUUGGUCUCCCCGGGACACACUGGAAUAAGGUACCCAGAGAAGUUGUGGUCUCUCCAUCCUUACAGGUUUUUAACACCUGGCUUAAGCAGGGGUCUUAAAGCAGAGGAUUGGACUACGCCUCUUGAAAUCCCUUCUAGCCCUAAUUUUCUAUGUAUCUAUGGUUCUAUAUGUAUUAGGGAGAUGCCCUUAUUUGUUGGAAUUAAACAAAGAUGAAGAGAGCUAUUUAGAAUAUUUCAGCCUGUUUCUGUUCUCACUUAAAUUAACAGGAUUCUGGAACAUUAUUAUUGCAGCUAAUAAAUGCAUUUGGCAUUUAUACUUAAAGCUAGGGGGUGAAAAGAACCCUUAAGAUGCUAGGAGAUCUCAAUUCUUACUGAGGACAAAGGAAUAUUAAGGCUCUCUAGGGCCAGGAAGGAGACAAUCAGCAGGACUGCAAUACCAAAUAUUGAAGUGUGUUUCACAAGAGCUGACAAGUGGCAAGGGUUACCGCCUUCAUUAGGUUAGCAGUUGAAAAAUCUGAAGAAAGACAGAGUUAGCUGGAGGACAGGAUUCAAAUCAAGCCAUUGUUAACAAUACUUAUAGCAUCCUCAGAUGUAUUUUCACAGAAAGAAUUUAAAUACACAUCUACUUCCUAGAAAGGAUUACAACCAUUAGAUUUAAUCCAAACAAGGAUAACAAUCAAUAGAAGACUUCAUAAUCCAUGAGGAAGGAAUGAUGGGUGAUGUCCUGCCCUAGAGAAGGAGGAGUUAUGCUGCCACAAUACCACAACAUCCCCUUACCAGAUUUUCAGCUUCCACCGGAUUCUGUGCCAACUUCUGUCAAUGACAGGCUGGAUCCAGCCCUGGCAUACACAGUUCUGCAGGUCCAGCAUGUGCACAUGAGGGAGAGGCACCAGCCACCACCGGGGAUGUGCCCUCAGGGACACUGCCACCCUUGGCCAGCAUGCUCCACAUGCACUGCUUCCAACAGCGGCAGACACAAGACUGGACCCUGCUGUUGUACCAGCUGGUCACCAUGGCAGAGAAGUGGCUGGCAGACUCAUGGGCCUGGCACGCCAAAGACAUUGCAUGUGACUGGGAGAAGGAUUGUGAGGACCAGGUGUUCUGGGACAGGCUUCUGGCCUUCAAGGACAGGCACAUUGCUCUCCUCAAGAAAAUGUUAAAGGUGAAGGAGCGGCAAGUGGCCAUGGUGGUCUGGGCAGUGGAGGCUCCAGAGGAGGACCACCAGGUGCUGGACACCAUCCUGGCCCUGAUGGUCACCUUCAUGUCACCUGCUGCCUUGCCCCUGGCACUGCCUGUCCCGUGACAGCCACCCAGCAGCAAGUCCCACAGUGGGCUUAGGCUGAGGGGCAGCAGCACCUGCAGCAGCCAGGGCUCCCUGCCCUUGCACUCACGCUGGGUCCCCCAGCAGCCGGCCCCUCUACCAGGGACCUCCUCCUCCCACCGCCGUUGUUUGCCCAUGAGGCAUAUGGCACUUUAACAGGGACUGCCUGCAGUAGGGCCAGCACUGCACAUGGGCCCUGCUGGCCUUGGUUUCAUGAUGGAGGAGGAGGAUCCAGCAGUGCAGGCAGAACAGUGGCCACCCUCAACCCUGGGUGAGCUCCCCACCUGAUGGCCUUGCUGUGGUGUGCGCACCCAUGGUCGUAUGGCCAGAGGCUGGGGUGCUGGGCACCUGUCCCCUGAAUCCUCCCUGUAGGCACCUCCACCCCACCAUCCCCCACCCUGGGAGACCACACAGCACAGUGUAUAUUGUUUGCACAGGGAAGAGGGUGCUUUAUUGUUGGUGGGUGGUGGGAUUAGUGGUGUGGUCUGGGUUUGGGGGGAAGGGUGGGAGGGAGUCUGUAGUUGUGGAGGGAGAGUGGGACAGGGUCUCGGUUUGUGGAGGGAAAUAAAAACAUUUGCUGAAAACUGUCCACAGUUUCCACUGAGGUCCAGGGCCUCUGUGAGUGGGGGGCCAUUACUGUCACUGCCUCCACAGCUGAUGCUCCAAGUGCCAGGUCUCCUUUGCCUGCUGCUUCCCUUCUCUGCUCACACCUUGUGGAAGAGCUCUCCUUGGGCCUCACAGAUGUUAUGCAGCACACAGGCUGUGACGAUGACCCAGGGGAUAUUGGCCUCCAUGACCUUGAGGCAGGCAGUGAAGGUGCACCAGCAUCCUUUGAGGUGGCUAAAGGCACACUCCACCAGUGCAUGGCUCCAGCCUAGGUACCUGUUGAAAUAUGCCUGGUAUAGGUUGAGCUGGCUGAUGUAGGGCCACAUGAGCCAGGUGAGGAGUGGGUAGGUGGGGUCCCUGAUAAUGACAUUGCCUGAUAAUGGAGGUCUGGAACACCUCUGCACCAGGGCGGAAUUCCAGAAGAACCAGGCAUUGUGGGUACUAUUAGCUAAGCCAGGGCUGAUAUGUCUGAAGGAGCCUGGGUGGUCCACCGCAGCUUGAAGUACAACUGAAUGGAAGCUCCACAGUCUGUAGUAUGGGUAGUGCCCCCAGGGCAGGCAGGUGAUGGGGAUGUGGGUCCUAUCCAGGGUCCCAGUGCACUACAGAAAGCCCAGGGUGCAGAAUCCUGCCACCACCUUCAGGGGGUCAUUGACCUGGAGCAUGGUGUAGGCCAGAAUGUUCUGGAGGAUGCCAAAGACCUCCAGGAUGGCCUCCCUAGUGGUUGUUUUGCCCACCCCGAAGAGGUGGCCGAUGUACUGUAGGCUGGUGGGCAUGGUUAGCUUGAGGAGGGUGAUGGCCAGCUAGGUCUCUAUGGGGAAGGACAGCUGCAUAGUGGUGGGCUGUGUUUCAGGUACAGGUGGAGCUGGUCAAGUAGCAACCCAAAGGUGGGGUGGUGAGCCAGGCCAUGUGGCCAUUUAGCAUGGGAGGGUGAGAGCAGGAGAGUGGAGCAGGGCAGGAGGAGGCCUGGAGCAGCCUACUCCCAUAAGCAACAAAUCCCCUCCGAGGAGGCUGCAUGUGUAGAUACCUGCCCAGUGCUGUUUUACUGCAUAGUAAACCCAAAUACCCUUAAUUGGACAUGUAGAUUCACCCAGUGUUCUUUAAUCAACACUGCUAUCUGCUUCUCUCCCAUGGUUGCUUUUAUUUUUUGCUUUUCAAUAAAGAAGAGUGAAAAAAUCAAA